GAACCUCCAGCAUCUCUGGGAAGUUGAAGCUCUCGGGCCCCCGUAUGGUGAGAAAGGGUCUCCGCCCUGUUUCCUGGCCCAGUGGUCUUCUCCCAGGAUCUUUCAUCUGUCUGUCUCCAUGCCUGAGACUGAUGAGGCCAGACCUAUUUCAAAAACCUGCCCCCUGUGCCCUCCUCGGUCCUAGAUUAAUUAACAGCAACGGCAACAACAAAAACAAUUUUAUGAAAACAUUCCCUUCCCAGAGUGUGUUUAUUUAAUGAAAUAAUGCAUAUAAUGUAAUAUACACUUAUAGUGCCUGAUACAUAGUAUAUGCUUAAGAAGUAUGUAUUCUUGUUGUUACGGUUAUAUUGUUAUUAAACACUUACUAUGAGUAGUAACAAUAAACUCACAAUAUAGUAUCCACAGCUUUUGCCUUUUAAAGCCUUUUUUAAAUGGGGACCAUUUUUGAAGUCUUUAUUGAAUUUGUUGCAGCAUUGCUUCUGUUAUGUUCAGGUCUUUUUGGCCUCAGGGCAUUGAGAUUUUGGCUCCCCAAUCAGUGAAGGAACCUGCAUCCCCUGCAUUGGAAGGCAAAGUCUUAACCACUGGACUGCCAGGGAAGUCCCUGCCUUUGCCUUUUAGAUUUUUAAUUCAUUUCUUUUUGGACCCUCAGGUCAAAGACCCUUGAGGUAGGCUCUGUACAGUUGUCCAGGUUCCCUAAUGCCUAAUGCAGUGCUGUGCAUACAGUUGUUGCUGUUCAGUCGCUAAAUCGUGUUCAGCUCUUUGCAGCCCCAUGCAGCAUGCCAGACUUCCCUUGACCCUCACCAUCUUUUAGAGUCUGCUCACAUUCAUGUCCAUUGAGUCGGUGAUGUCAUCCAUCUCAUCCUCUGUCACCCGCUUCUCCUCCUGUCCUCAGUCUUUCCCAGCAUACAGUGGCACGCAGUGAAUGUUUGUGGAUGGAAUCUUGGCAGCAUUUCUGCCCUCCCCCCGCUCCUGGCCUCCACGCAGGGGUCUGCUUGGACACUUGCAUGGCCAAGGAACUUGAAAAAGGAGGCAACGCUUCAGAAUCGUCUGAGAGAACAAACACAGGCAAAAAAAGUGGAAUCAGGCUCUGCACAUUCCGUAUCGAAAAAUCGCUAUAGCUUGAACUUCAGUAGAAGACUCCAGAAGGUGAACAACCAGUUCAGGGAACAGGGUGAAGACAUGGACCCAGGCUUUGGGUGGACUCAUACCGGUCUGCAUCACCGCAGAGUAACUACCUGGGAUGGAACCACAGGCAAGUCUGAGAAGGGUGGACCCUUGAAAGGUAAAUUUGUGUUACUUUUUCCCCAUGAAGCCCUCUUCCUUAUGGAAACAAGCUCAAUAAGUCACUCAUUUAGUUAAAAUAGUGAAAACUGCUGCUGCUGCUGCUGCUGCUAAGUCGCUUCAGUCGUGUCCAACUCUGUGUGACCCCAUAGACAGCAGCCCACCAGGCUUCCCCGUCCCUGGGAUUCUCCAGGCAAGAACACUGGAGUGGGUUGCCAUUUCCUCCUCCAAUGCAUGAAAGUGAAAAGUGGAAGUGAAGUCGCUCAGUCGAGUCCAACUCUAGUGACCCCAUGGACUGCAGCCUAACUAAUGCUUGGUAAAUGGUGAGAAAAGGUACAGAUGUAUGCGUUCUUGCUUUCUUUCCCUUAACAAGCUCAUUCUCCCAGACUUAGCCUUUUUCCAGCUACAAGUCAAUAACCCAGAAUUCUGAGAAGGCAAAAAGAAACAUUAUUGAUUUUUAGUAGGUGGUAGAUGUGCUUAGUACAAAAUUCAAAAGGUCUGAAGAAUUCACAGUGAAAAUGUGUGCCCCUCCUCAUCCCCUCCUGCAGCUCCAGCUUGUACCCAGGCCAGGGCUGUUCUCUCCUUACUUAGGGAUGCCUCUGUGUGUGUGUGUGUGUGUACAUGGUUACACAUAUCCCUGUGUUCACUUAGCACAAUAAAGUUUGGGAAACGGUUCA
ensembl:lncRNA